rnacentral:rRNA from 1 species
CACGUAGGGCGCAAGCGUUGUCCGGAAUUAUUGGGCGUAAAGAGCUCGUAGGCGGUCUGUUGCGUCCGCUGUGAAAACUCGGGGCUUAACCCCGAGCCUGCAGUGGAUACGGGCAGACUAGAGGUAGGUAGGGGAGAAUGGAAUUCUCGGUGUAGCAGUGAAAUGCGUAGAUAUCGAGAGGAACACCAGUGGCGAAGGCGAGUCCCUGGACAACUUCUGACGCUGAGGCACGAAAGCUAGGGGAGCAAACAGG